GACGAACGCUGGCGGCGUGCUUAACACAUGCAAGUCGAACGGAAAGGCCCUUCGGGGUACUCGAGUGGCGAACGGGUGAGUAACACGUGGGUGAUCUGCCCUGCACUCUGGGAUAAGCCUGGGAAACUGGGUCUAAUACCGGAUAGGACCACACACUUCAUGGUGAGUGGUGCAAAGCUUUUGCGGUGUGGGAUGAGCCCGCGGCCUAUCAGCUUGUUGGUGGGGUAAUGGCCCACCAAGGCGACGACGGGUAGCCGGCCUGAGAGGGUGACCGGCCACACUGGGACUGAGAUACGGCCCAGACUCCUACGGGAGGCAGCAGUGGGGAAUAUUGCACAAUGGGCGCAAGCCUGAUGCAGCGACGCCGCGUGAGGGAUGACGGCCUUCGGGUUGUAAACCUCUUUCAGUAGGGACGAAGCGAAAGUGACGGUACCUACAGAAGAAGGACCGGCCAACUACGUGCCAGCAGCCGCGGUAAUACGUAGGGUCCGAGCGUUGUCCGGAAUUACUGGGCGUAAAGAGCUCGUAGGUGGUUUGUCGCGUUGUUCGUGAAAACUCACAGCUUAACUGUGGGCGUGCGGGCGAUACGGGCAGACUAGAGUACUGCAGGGGAGACUGGAAUUCCUGGUGUAGCGGUGGAAUGCGCAGAUAUCAGGAGGAACACCGGUGGCGAAGGCGGGUCUCUGGGCAGUAACUGACGCUGAGGAGCGAAAGCGUGGGUAGCGAACAGGAUUAGAUACCCUGGUAGUCCACGCCGUAAACGGUGGGUACUAGGUGUGGGUUUCCUUCCUUGGGAUCCGUGCCGUAGCUAACGCAUUAAGUACCCCGCCUGGGGAGUACGGUCGCAAGACUAAAACUCAAAGGAAUUGACGGGGGCCCGCACAAGCGGCGGAGCAUGUGGAUUAAUUCGAUGCAACGCGAAGAACCUUACCUGGGUUUGACAUGCACAGGACGUACCUAGAGAUAGGUAUUCCCUUGUGGCCUGUGUGCAGGUGGUGCAUGGCUGUCGUCAGCUCGUGUCGUGAGAUGUUGGGUUAAGUCCCGCAACGAGCGCAACCCUUGUCCUAUGUUGCCAGCGGGUAAUGCCGGGGACUCGUAGGAGACUGCCGGGGUCAACUCGGAGGAAGGUGGGGAUGACGUCAAGUCAUCAUGCCCCUUAUGUCCAGGGCUUCACACAUGCUACAAUGGCCAGUACAGAGGGCUGCGAAGCCGCAAGGUGGAGCGAAUCCCUUAAAGCUGGUCUCAGUUCGGAUUGGGGUCUGCAACUCGACCCCAUGAAGUCGGAGUCGCUAGUAAUCGCAGAUCAGCAACGCUGCGGUGAAUACGUUCCCGGGCGUUGUACACACCGCCCGUCACGUCAUGAAAGUCGGUAACACCCGAAGCCAGUGGCCUAACCUUUUGGAGGAAACUGUCGAAGGUGGGAUCGGCGAUUGGGACGA
rnacentral:rRNA from 1 species